AUGCUCCUGAUCGAGCUGUUCCUAGGCCGCACGCCAUGGCCAGCCUUCAUGAAUAGUGAACAGCAUCCCAAACCUCUGCAGCUGACAGAAAAAAAGGAAAGCAGAGUCAUCAGAGAGGCAAACAGAAGCCAUAUCUUUUGGGUUGUGGUUCUACAGGUGAAAGACAGGGGCUUGCCUUUCCUGCAGUGAGGCUGCAGACUGGCUGGCAGAAGUGGACAGGAGAAGAGAAGAUCUCUCAAAAGAUCCUACACCCUUUCUCUUCAGCUGGCAGUGCCUUCAAGUCCCACUGUUCCAUUUCUAAUGUCACAUAUCUGCGCUAUCUCUACAGUGUCAUGCAUGAGGUCAUGAAUGUUAGCUGCAGCAAGUUCCACUUUGAAUUCACAUUUUGUACAUGUUAAGAAUUUCAUUAAUAAAAACUAAAAAUACUAUUUAUGCAGAAAAUCAAGCAAUGUUGUUAAAAUAUAAUUACAUAUUUCAGGAUCCAAAUUCAAAUGGAGUAAUUCUCCUCUUUU
ensembl:lncRNA